UUUAAUCUCGGUAUUCUUGGUUGCGCCUAAAUGAUUUGAAGCAAAUCUGAACCUGUAACUGUAGUUCUUGGUCUGAAGAUAUCACAUCUCAACUUUUCUUUCCCCGCAGCUUGCAUUGACCAUAGAGGCGCACCACAGAAUCCAUCAAGGACCUGCACCCCUGAAUCCGAAGAUGAAGAAAUAUGCGUAUUCAACUUGAGGAAUUUCAUACUUUUGGUGUGGUGCUAGCAAAUAUAGUGACCAAAGAUAUUGAUGAGAAAGGGUGGAGCUGAGUAUGCCACACAUGGAUAUGAUUAUUCCCCGUAUGUUCUUUUUGGCAAUCCACUUCAUCACUGACUCAUCUGUGUAUGGGUUCCAAAGUUUGGCCACAACUAGCUUGAUUCGGAGACAUUUCGUAUUAGGAGUUAAACUUUGGUUUGGAGGCAUUGAGCUUUGCCAGUAACUAGCUUUGUUACUUGGUAUACUUCUGUCAGCAUUCAGGAGCCCCGUAGUUGUGUAGCGGGUCGCGGGAGAGGCAGCCGGUGAGUGCGAGCUGGACGGGAAAGUGAUGCCUGCGAUGGCGAACCAUGCCGGCGGGCAGGGCAGGGUCGACGCUCUAAAUGUACUGCCUGACAGCUUGUCUUAGUCUUAAUAAAAGUGCAUAUCUGCAGCAUCCUUUCAUUUAUUUGGCAUAUCCUACUUUAAAAAAUAUCCUUGACUCGCAUCGAUUUCAAAUAACUGAAGUAUCUUCUCUGCUCAUGUUUCCACAUAAAGCCCAAUCAUGUAUAUGUACUGAUGGCAGCAUGCAUUCCAAGUUAGAGAGGUUCCAAUGCUUUCCUUUUUUCA